GUAAUGUGAAUUGCAGAAUUCAGUGAAUCAUCGAAUCUUUGAACGCAUCUUGCGCUCCUUGGUAUUCCGAGGAGCAUGCCUGUUUGAGUGUCAUUCAAGYAUCUCAAAAGGUCCUUAUGCAGCAUGCAGGGAACUUUUGGACAUUGGGAGUUGCUGGUCACUGAUAAAGUGGYUGGCUCUUCUGAAAAGCAUUAGUUGAGGAGCUUUUUGUGCUCUAUUGGUGUGAUAGACUAUCUAUGCCAGGARAAGCAUUGUGAAGCCUCUGCUGUCUAACAGUCGUAAUUGGACAAUAUGAUAAACUUGACCUCAAAUCAGGUAGGACUACCCGCUGAACUUAAGCAUAUCAAUAAGCGGAGGAAAAGAAACUAACAAGGAUUCCCUUAGUAACUGCGAGUGAAGAGGGAAAAGCUCAAAUUUAAAAUCUGGCAGUGUUUUGCUGUCCGAGUUGUAACCUAGAGAAGUGUAACCUGGGCUGGACCAUGUACAAGUCUCCUGGAAUGGAGCAUCGCAGAGGGUGAGAAUCCCGUCUUUGACAUGGACUACCAGUGCAUUGUGGUUGUGCUCUCAAUCGAGUCGAGUUGUUUGGGAAUGCAGCUCUAAAUGGGUGGUAAAUUCCAUCUAAAGCUAAAUAUUGGCGAGAGACCGAUAGCGAACAAGUACCGUGAGGGAGAGAUGGAUAGAACUUUGGAAAGAGAGUUAAACAGUAUGUGAAAUUGUUGAAAGGGAAACGUUUGAAGUCAGUCAUGUUGGUUGGGGAUCAGCCUGGCAGAUUGACCGGGUGUACUUCCUGGUUGACGGGCCUACAUCAGUUUUGACUGCCAGAGAAAGGCCAAGGGAAUGUGGCACCUUUGGGUGUGUUAUAGCUCUUGGUCGUAUGUGGUGGUUGGGAUCUGCACGGAGAGCAGUGCGCCGAAAGGCAGGGUUUCGACCACAUUCGCAGCUGAGGAUGUUGGCAUAAUG
rnacentral:rRNA from 1 species